rnacentral:lncRNA from 1 species
ACAAUUAUUUUAAUAAUUAUCUCAAAUCAAUAUCAAUUUGUGAAUCAUAUUUAUCUACAAAUUUAAAAUUUUAAAUUGUAAAUUUAUAUGUUAUAUUUUAUUGAAAAAAUAUCUCAUAUUUCAAAUAUUAAUAGGUAAAAUUGAGAUAAUUUUUAUAUAUUCACCUUUUAAAAAAUAUGAUUAAAUAUUAUAUAUGCGGAAGGUAUUAUGUGAUUGGAUAUUAUAUAGGUGGCGGAUAUUUUGUGUGAGAAAUAAAAUAUUUAGAAAUGCGAAUAUUAUUUGUUAUAAAAUAUGAUAUUAUGUGGGCGGCGGUUAUUAGAAAAUAUGACAUGCAUAUAAAAAGUGAAAUUUUAUACGUACUAUUUGAGGGCGAUUUAGGUAAAAAAAGUGACAGAUACUUAAUUCGUCAGUCAUUGAUUAGAUCUAAUAACUAAGAAUUAAUAUAUUUUAUGAUAAUUUAAAAAUAAAAUAAAAAUUGUACGACUGUGAUUUAUUCCAUUAAAGUUGAAUGAAUGAUAUUAUUAGUAUAUGAUUGGAAUUAUAUUAAUAGGGACCGGUAUUUUGGGAAAGAGGAAAAAAUUCAAAACUCACGCUUUUAUAAGUAGUAUAUAUAUAUAUAUAUAUAUAUAUAUAUAUAUAUAUAUAUAUCUUGCCACUAUAGGCUUUUCAUUCUAGCUGAACAUAUAUCUCUCUCUUGACUAUCCUCAGAUUCCGAUGAUUACGGCUUUGCCUUCAUGGCUUUGUCGUAGUCACUGGAAUAUCUUAAGUUGGUUUCUCACCCCACUAUUUUUACAGGUGGUAUCGGGGGUGAGGUUGGUCAUGGCAUGGUGCAAGGCUUCGAUAUUACUAGAGGGUUUUAGUGGUCCAAUGAACUACUUAAUUUUCUGCUACGGUUAUCUUGUUAUCUUAACUCUUAUGUUAACUUUGGUUAACUUAGACUGUGGUGGUUCAGUAAAAUUGGAUGCUUGCUACUUGGUUUAAUAAGAUUAUAAAUUUCUAUUUAGAAAUUAUUGCAAUGGUUUAUGAUUUUAUGGCAAAAAUGGUUUCAUAUCCCUCAUGGUAGUUGGUUUUCAAGAGGCUGAGUUUCUGUUCGGGAAAUGAUUUUCAAAAAUUUUUUGGUUUUAUCAUAAUUCUAGAUUUUAAAACAAAGGUUCGGGGUGAGAAAUACUUUCAAAUGAUAGAAGAAUUUCUUUGAUUGUUGUUUGUGCAUUUGCAUCAUCUUUGCGAAGGAUUGCGUAGCUGUAUGAAUGCACGCAUCAUCUCUGCUAAGGAUCGCGUAACUGUAUGAGAAUCUUGCAUGCUCAUGCAUGGUGUAUGAUACGGAUUGAUGGUUUGUGUAAGUAGAGAUUGAUGGUUGUGAUAUUGUAUUAGGUUGGUAUAUCAUGCAAAUAUAGGAGAGACUCUAUCCAUGUGGACAGAGAAAUCCCUAUGUUUGUGGCGGGUCUGUUCGUCCCGUAGGCAAGGCUAAAUUUAAAAAGAGAAAAUAAGCGUUUUCAACUAACUCUGGGCUUCAAAUUGCACCUUGUUCUAAAAAGGUUUUACAGAAAGGGCCUCGGGGUGUGAGAAGUAAUUUCGCAUCUACGAUUCAAAUUAUUACUGAUGCUACAUUACGUCGUUUGGUUCACUGCAUAUAUGCAAUAUCAGAUUACAGUGUAUAUAAAUUAUUUUGUUCGGUUCAUCUUAUAUAUAUAUAUAUAUAUAUAUAUAUUUCUCUAUUCACUCUCUAGAUCCAAAUCAAUAACUCCGAUAAUGAAUCGAAAAACCCAAUCUUCUACUAUUAGAAAGUUGUUUGAUUUUGAGUAUGCAUUUUAUAUUCACUUAAUAGACUUGAGAAUAAUCUUGAAAAAUCAUGAAGUUUGGUUUCUAGACAAUUCAAAACACUAGAGCAUGUUUAACAGUAUAGAUCAUUGAAUCAAACUCUCUAUCAUUGUAAACGAGUUAUGAGAACAAAGACUUUUGUAUACAAAAGAGUACAGGAUGUCACGCGCAUCGUGAAAUCUAUCGCUCGUCUGCCCUUGAUAGUGACACAAACUCAAAAGGGCCCAAUUUGGAUCCUUCCAGAAGCUACUGUGGGAGCCGAAGGAUCACAGCGUAUGAGAACCAAAGCUUAACAACAUUGGAAAGCUGAAGUGUCACGGGCAACUCAAUAGUUUUCUAAGAAUAAAUGUAGGCAGUAAAUUGAAGAGCCAUAGACAGAGACAUAAAAGUCACUUAGUUCUUUAGAUUCUCUGGAAACAAUAAAUGGUGGAUCUUUAUUUGUAAUAAUGGCAAUAGGUCGAUAAAUAACGANAAAAUUUGAAUUCAUAUUUCAUUUUGUGUUCAAAUUUUAAAUUCAAAUUCAAAAUUUUAAUUCAAAUUUAAAAUUAAAUCAAAAUUUUAAACUUAAAUUUGAAAUACAAAUUCAAAUUUAAAUGGAAUUCAAAUUUUAAAUAGAUAUUCAAAUUAAAAUAUUUAAUUUUGAAUGCAGACUUAAAUAUUUUAAUUUUAAUUAAAAUAAAAACUAAAAAUUAUUUUAGAUUUAAAUUUCAAGCAAUUGGGGGUGGAGAAGGGUAACUUUAUAAUUUUGCAUAAGUUGCAGAAUAACGAGCACUCGGCAAUGUAUCAUACUCGCCCCCCUAAUUACCAACCGGAUUACUUGCGGGAUGAACCAAAUAUAGUAAUAUGAAAAGAUUCCUACAAGAUACUCUGUAAUUUUGGCAGGAUAAUGUGAACCAAACAAGCCCUAAAUGUAGGUAGUAAAUCGAGAAGCCAUAGGCUGAAGUCUAAAAGUCACUCAGUUCUUUCCCUAGAAAUAAUAAAUGGUGAAUAUUUAUUUGUAAUAAUGGCAAUAGGUCGAUAAAUAACGACUCUUAGGUCUUUCCCAAGCCCCACACUUCCAAAAUAUUGUACUCCAUUUCAAUAAGUUAUAUAAUUUUUCAUUACCCCAAAAGUAUCUCUUUUUCUUGCAACUUAGUUUUAGGACAAAUAGUAGACUAACAAGAGUGAGGAAGACUUGCCCAUCUCUGAGCGGAAAGGCGGGCACAACACAAGCUUUUGCGAGUUAGAAGCAUAAGUCCAUGACAGUUGGUAUCAGAGCCGGUUCGAGGGAAAAACCAUGUCGUUGUCAAAUGCUGUUGGCGUUGAUAAUGUGCCGGAACCCAAACAGACCAAGUAGGAAAGAAGCAAAAAGCCACAGGCACUCGCGAAGGAGGCCACAUCCUCGGAGAACGGAGCGGGCCCUGCAAGAGAAAGUUACAACGAAAGUGAAGAAGCGAUGCUCCGCAUAAGCUCAGACCAUGAGUUUGUGGGAAGAGAGGCUUCGCUUGAUAGAGGAGGAUGUUGUCGCAGCCAUGGCAACAUUCUGCCAUCAUCUGGAGUAUUUCAAGGCAGAUCUUCCACGUCGCAACGACAAGCUAGACGCGCAAGAUGUGUUGCUUCAGGACAUCGGUGCCCAGGUCGAGGUCGCAGGCCUCAAGACGAGAUAGGCACUAACCGAGUGAACCAAAAGCGAUCAUGGCAAGCUACUUAAGGCAAGAGAGGCCAAAAGAGGGGUAGAGCAUCGCAAUAUAAGGGAGAGAAGGGACGCGACGAAGGAUCAAACCCUUUCAGCACUACAGCUACGCGAGGAGGUGGAGCACAGAAGGGUCGAGGUAGUAGUGGUCCUUGAGGAGAAGGAUGAGAGCAAGGAUGACAAGCCUCGAGAGUUCUUGGAGCAGCUUUUACCCAAUUGAGAGUUAGGUAGUUCUGUCAGACGCAAAUCCGAGAAAGAGCCUAAAAGGACAUGCGGGAGUCCCGCAACUCGGUAGCGUGUGCAUGCAUGUUGAGAAGGACAACCACAUUCGACGGGUCGAACAUGCCAACAAACUUAUCCGCACAUACAACUGGCUAGCGAUCAUACUCAAAGAGGAAAGGCACUUGGGGAUGGUGCGGAGGUGGAUGCGGACUAUAGCAGCAGCGCUCGAGAUUUGACGUGUGUGAAGGCACGACGAACUAUGAUCGAGGCUACACGAACGAGAACAUACACUAGCGCAAGACGAAAGCGUCUGCACAAUAGGUGGGGGAGAUUGUCACACGCAUCGUGAAAUCUAUCACCCAUCUACCCUUGAUAGUGACACAAACUCAAAACGCACAAUUUUGGAUCCUUUUAGAAGCUACUAUGGGAACUGAAACAUAAUAGCGUGAAGGGACUGAAGCAUCUCAACCUUGCGAAGCUGAAGUGUCAUGGGUAACUCAAAAGGUUUUCUAAGGAUAAGAACCCAUUUGGUUCGCAUUAUGCAGCAUUAUUGGUUACCUCAGCCUAACUAGUAAUUUCACAUAUGUGAUUAAGAUUACUACUAAUGCUGCAUUACGCCUUUUAGUUCACUGUAGUAAUGUAAUAUCAAAUUACUGUGUACAUAAGAUUAUUUUGUUGGUUAUCUUGUUUGGUUUAUCUGUUUUAUAUAUAUAUAUAUAUAUAUAUAUAUAUAUAUAUAUAUAUAUAUAUAUAUAUAUAUAUAUAUACUCAUGAUAGUAAAAGUUUAUACUUUCUAAAAUACCGUUAAACACAUAAAUUUGAAUGGGAAACUUUAAAUUUAAGUUUAAAAUAAAUUCAGAUUUUAAAUCAAAUUUAAAUAUUUGUUGUUCAAAUUUUAAAUUUCAAUUUUGAUUUGAGUUUGAAUUUUAAAUUCAAAUUUGAUUUUGAAUUCGAAUUUCAAUUGGAUUUUAAAAGUUGAAUUUAAAUUUAAACUUAAUAUUAAAUUUAAAAUCAAAUUUUAGUUUUUGGAUAAUUUCUAUUAUAAACUAAACCUUUUUUUGAAUGUUUCUAAAGGGCUGAUUUUUUAGUUACUUCGACCCAAUAGAAUCUUAAUGAUCAAAUUUUAAUUUCAAAUUUAAUUUUUGAACAGUCCAAGAUUUAUAUUCAAACCAUUCAAAUUCAAAAUUUGAAUUAUAUUUUCAUUUGUGUUCAAAUUUAAAUUCAAAUCAAAAUUUUAAUUCAAAUUUAAAAUUAAAUCAAAAUUUUAAACUUAAUUUUGAAAUACAAAUUCAAAUUUAAAUGGAAUUCAAAUUUUAAAUAGAUAUUCAAAUUAAAAUAUUUAAUUUGAAUGCAGACUUAAAUAUUUAAUUUUAAUUAAAAUAAAACUAAAAAUUAUUUUAGAUUUAAAUUUUCAAGCAAUUGGGGGUGGAGAAGGGUAACUUUAUAAUUUUGCAAUAAGUUGCAGAAAUAACGAGCACUCGCAAUGUAUCAUACUCGCCCCCCUCUAUUACCAACGGAUUACUUGCGGGGGAUGAACCAAAUAUAGUAAUAUGAAAAGAUUCCUACAAGAUACUCUGUAAUUUUGGCAGGAUAAUGUGAACCAAACAAGCCAAAUGUAGGUAAGUAAAUCGAGAAGCCAUAGGCUGAAGUCUAAAAGUCACUCAGUUCUUUCCCUAGAAAUAAUAAAUGGUGAAUAUUUAUUUGUAAUAAUGGCAAUAAGUCUAUAGAUAGUAUGGAGUCUUAGGUCUUUCCUAAGCCCCAAACUCCCAAAAUAUUGUACUCCAUUUUUCAAAGUAAUAUAAUUUUACAUUUCCCCAAAGUAUCUCUUUUUCUUGCAACUUAGUCAUAGGACAAGUAGGUCCGGACUAGCAUCUUUGAGGAGGAAGGCGGGCGCUUGCGAGUUAAAAGCAUAUGUCUGUGACAAGAAGCUCUACUCUACAAAAGAUUUCAUAAAGAAUAUAUACUAAAAGCAAUUAGAAUAUACAAGUGCUAAAAAAAUUAAAUAUUCCAUGCUGAAAUGUGUCGACACAUGUAAACUUGUCAACAACACACAUUGGUAUGAUACAGGACAUUGAAAACUCGACACAUACCAUCCCAUACCAUGCCAACAAGUGCUUGGCAUAAACCCAAGCUACGGCGCUUAAAUCCUUGCUUUCCAACUUAAUCCUUGCUUUCCAACCCAUGCUACGGCACUUAAAUCCUAGCUAUGGUGCCCAAGUAUCUGCACGAAGCACCAGAAAACCAUCUACAAGGGAACCAUGCAAUGGCCUAAAAGGGCUAAUGGCGGGCAGUUCUUACCUUUGUUUUGGGAGAGAUUCCUAGGGGUUGUUUUAGACAUUUAAUUGGGUCAUUAUCCCAAGGUUCCAUUAAUUAGAGAUUUUAUAUCAAAAAUGAUGUCAGCUAACCCUAGAAGCAAAAAAAACAUAAGUAGAACUUUAUCCCUUUGUUCCCUAGCCGACAGAAUUUUGUCAUCAAUUGAACAAUGACCAAAGACUUGCCUUUAAUUGUUUGGCUUUUUUUAGUUUCUUCCAAACCGGGACUCAUACAUGGACAGAAUUUUCAACACUUCUUCAAGUUUUAACAGUCAAAUGUGGCGUAUGUUAUUUUCUUUGACUAAAGCAAUGCGCUAUCACAACUCCACAGAACCAAUCCAUAGUACCGCUUGCCUUUGCCUACCGGUUACCUUGUGUCUAAUGGAAAACGUCAUUCUAGCUAAUUGUAUGAGCACUCCAAAUGCAAAAGAGGAAGGGAAAUGUGAAGCAUCGAGGAAGUGUUUUAAUACAAUAUGUUAAUCCAACAUCCUAGCACUGUGAAUGGGCUGUAAACUCUUGAUGGGAAGGACUUGAAGUUUGAAAGGUAAAAUAAUGCAAUGGGCUUGAAUGUAUAUCAUAAUACUUAAAUACGAGUAUAUAUAUCAUAAUAUUUUUCUAACUCUUUAGAUGAGAACUUCUAUAUGCCGGAUGUUAACCUAUAUAUAUGUUAAUAUGCUAUCAGCAUAGACAAGUCAUCUAAAGACAAUUUCCUAAUCAAAAGAAAAAAAUGAGACUUUAUGAUCCAAAAAUGCUGCUCAUAAUGCUUCCACAUCUUGCUUCAUAAAUUUUGCUUACUCUUGAGAAUUCUGACAUGUCCAAUUUUCUCUGUUUUAAAUUUGAAUCAAAAUAAAUUGGCAUCUUCCUAGAAGGACUACCCCACAGGCCCACAAACAUAAAUUCUCAUCCUAACUUGAAAGCCAUUAAGUGUAGGCAUAUACAUUGCACUUGACACCAAAACAUACUUUAUGAAUGUAUAUGCCCUUUUUAAGCCAAAAACAAUUAAUCUAUAGCUCGCUUCCCAUUUUGACAGAGUUUAUAAAGUAGUAGAAAUUCUGUACCCAAAUGAUAUAUAAUUGUUAAGCAUCAUAUUUUAAAUUUCUCACAAAAUUAGAGUGAACUAACUAAUUGUGAGACCCCAGGUAGUCCUAUAUAUAAGAUAUAAUAGGGCUAAACUCUUAACCCGGCUUAAACAUUUUGGGCGGUGGCUAGGCCCAAGAAGUUAAAAGAGUUAAGUAUGCUAGGACGGGAGUAGUCCUAGGAUGGGUGACUCCCUGGGAAGUUGGGGCGUCACACUAAUCCUAAUUUUGCUAUUUCGUCAUAUUAUUUGACCAACCAAUUGUCAAUUUUUGAAUAUUUCAAAUAUCUGAGAAAAAAUCAGAAUAAUUAAGAAUCCCAAUGUUUGACUUUUUUUUAUAUCUUUUUUUUUUAUUGAUUUCUUUUAUUAUUGUUCCUUUAUAAAAGGAUAAAAAAGAUAAGAAUUGGUGAAUCGAGAACAAUNUUAUAUCUUUUUUUUUAUUGAUUUCUUUUAUUAUUGUUCCUUUAUAAAAGGAUAAAAAAGAUAAGAAUUGGUGAAUCGAGAACAAUUUGCAAUUAGAAGAAAAAAGAGUUUCUUUUCUUAUGGAACAUACAUAUCAAUAUGUGUGGAUAAUACCUUCUCUUUCACUUCCAGUUACUUUUUUUUUGAGAGAUAGGUAGCACGCUACCCACUUCGUUUAUUUCAUUUAGAAAUAAACUUAGCUAGAAAUGUGAAUCAACUAGGAUUCGAACUUGGGACCUUGGGUACCAACCACCAAGCUCUUUGCCACUUGCUCUAGGAACGGUCGGUCACUUCCAGUUACUAUGUCAAUAGGAUUUGGACUUCCACUUAUUCCGACAGCAACAAAAAAUAUAACCUUUUGAGUGUAUAUGGUACUUUCUAUUUUUCUCAUACGGCCGGUACAUGUGAUGAUAACUAGAGAAAAAUAUUCCUUCAGAGAAAUAUGAACUUGUGGAUCAUCUAUGUGCAUUUUAACGAUAUUCAAUUUGAAAAAAAAAAAAAAAGAAUGACAUUGGGUAAUAAAAUCCUCAAGAUGUACCUUGCCUUUCCACGAAAAAUUCAUCACACGGUAAAAAGGGUCCACCAAAGUAACACAAUCACCUUCCUUAAUCUGUGACAAGAGAGCUUUAAAUUAAUAAAUGUUUAUUACCAACAAGAAAUAAACCUUAGUUUACAUGGAAAUAAAAAUCAAUUAUUUCCAAGGAUAUACAAUGUAAAAUGGUAUCAUACUAAUGGUAGGUUGCAAUAUAAACCCUUAAAUGUAUGCAAAAAUUUGAUAGAGAAAUUUAUGAAAUUCAAAUCCCAGUAGUAGGCUUGAAAAAUAGGCUGAGGGAGGAGAAAGCCCUGAGGAUAAAGCAAAGUUCCAAAGGUAGCCUUUAUGUAUGCUACCUUUCUUACAGUUUGCUUUUUCUCAUUCUUGUCUGAGUCCACAACUUAGACCAAAACCAUUCACUGACCUGACACCAUUGCUACUUGUAUUGACAAUGAGUUCUACCUAAAAUAAAAUAGUUUGAUGACCAAAUUACCCCACAUAAACCAUAAUUACAAAGUAUAAUAGGACAACAACUUAUUCCUUUCUCCAAAUUUUAAAUGGCAAACCCUUGUAGCCCCUUCUUGUACCAAACAACAAGCUUGAUCGCCUCUCCCAAAAUCACCACUUAAUGUAAGGUUGUCUACAAAGUGAUUGAGAUCUGAGUUGCAUUGUCGACAACCUACUGUUGAAGAUUUUCUUUUGUCCUUUUAAAAGAAAAUUUCUUUCAAAUCUUCGGUUGCAGUUAUAAACAUCCACUGCACAUGUUUUUCUAUUCUGAUAAUUGUUUGCUUCUUGAUUUCCUGAAGAGUUGAUUCCUCCAAAAGCAUCAAUAUAAUCCAAAAUAGCUAUUGAAGUAUCUAAGUAGAAAUCUCAACUAUCACUAGUUUUCAACGAAAGCAGAAUGUAUUUUUCACAAAAUUGAAACUUACAGCACAAAAGAAAAGUGAAAUUUCAGCUCCUGAUCUUGAUCUACUAUUUUUUUUUGUUCCCAAGAUUGUAAUUAUUUUGUUUCAUUUCUCAUGGAGAUAACUGAGGCUUCAGUUAGAUAGUAAAUAGAUGAAAAUAGCUGUAUAUGUGUUCAUAUGUCAAUCCAUAAUCAUUUUGCUAGGUGGUAUUUAUGCACACAAGGUAAAAAGGAUUAAAGUGCCGUGGCACGGAGUCAUGCCGAAAACUUUCCGGCACGGUAAAGCACGGUGCGUGCCGGGCCGUGCCGAUUCGUGCCGGUCAGAAAAAAUUCAUGUGUGCCGACACAUUAAAUAUUUAUUUUCUUUAGCAACAAAAUAUUCUAACUGUUUAUUAUAUAUUUUUAUCAAAUCUUUUGAACUUUAUUGAGAAAAUUACUUACUAAUUUAAAGAAUAGAGGGUUUUGAGCUGUGUCAUAGGCGCACAGGGACUGUAUCGUGCCGAUAUUUUGUUGACACGAUACGGCACGGUAGAUACGGCUCAUGUCAAUGGGCACUUAAAUCCUUGCAAGGUAAUCGAACUAAUUCUUUUAUAGAAGUUUGAGGUGAUUUUAGAAAAGGGAGACAACACAGCUAAAAAUAUCUACAAUUACAAAAAAUAAAACGAUAACUUCCACCUAUAGUCCUCAAACAAUGAAGAGAGUGGCACUUCAGUCCUCUACUUUGCUGCAAAUUCUGGCUUAAACCUCUUGAAUUGUUACAAUUAAGUUAUGUUGUCAAAUAAACUUGACUGAAUGAUGAGGUGUUGCUGAUGUGGUAGCGACGUGGCAUCUUAGUUAUUGUCAUAUCAUCAAUCUGAACCAACAUGAUGAUGUGGCAUGUUAGCACAAUCACAUCACCAUCACAUCACUACGAAGGAGGGGGAAAAAAGGAGAAAUUUUUGCUUUCAUCAGGUGACCAGAUCAACAAAGCACUAUAAAGAAUAAAUUAAUUAAUUAUGUAAUAUACCGAAAUUCCGGGUUACAAUGCUAACUUGGAUCUGGGGGAUCAAAGAGAAGUUUGAACUAGAUGUGCGUCUUUCCCAAGUAAUUCUAGAGGCGUGGGAAUAAAUUCUGGAGAUAUUUGAGUGUUUCGGUGCAAAUCGGGCACGAAACGAGUUUAGAUGAGAAUCUCCGGAUUACGACGCUAACUUUGAUUAAAUGAAUCAAAGUGAAGCAUGAGGAUAAUUUGUAGUAUUCCCGAAUUAAUUUGGAGUUGUCGGGAUAGCUAAUGGCAUAUUUUAGAAGGGUUGCGAGAUGUUUGGCGCGAAGUGGCCAGGCGAAACGAACUCAGAGUAAGGCUGCUGCUACCUGUGCAGGUUUUGCACUGGGUACCGGUACCAGAACAGGGGGGUACCGGUACCCAGUCACGAGGACUGUAUUGUAAAGGUGAAUUGUGGCUUUUGUGGAGGGUUUAGGUGCAAUUGUUUGCCCUUAUCUUUAAACCCCAGGUCACCACCAGCUUCCCUACGUACAGGGAAACAUCUCCUUUCUUCUCUUUUCAUUUCUUUUCUUCUUCUGCCUCUAAACCUAGAGUGGAUGGUGCGUUGAAGGGAGAAGUUGGUGGAUUUGAUGUUUUGGGCUGAGGAGAAUUUCAGCAGCUGGGAGAUACCUGGUGGAGAGUGAAUCCGAGGUGAGGUUAUGAUACCUCUGUGAUAGGAUUUGUAUUAUCUGCCUUAGAAGGUUUAAGCAAUGGAAUUUUGAUUGCUAGAGCUUGUGUUGCCAUGAAGAGCUUAGAGAAGGAGCUAUAUGUUGAGUGUUGUUUGGUUGUGAAGGAGUUCAAGAGCAAGGUUUCCCUGGUGAAGUGGAACCUGAGGUAAAGAGGGUGAUAUCUCUUUGAUAAGGUUCGUUCUAAUUACCCUAAAGAGGAUUUAGCUUGGAUGCUAUUGGGUUGCUAUAGCUUGUAAUUUCUAUAAAUCUUAGAGAAAGACUAUAUGCUGAAUAUAGUAUGUGAGCUCUUGGGUUGAUAUGAAGCUGUAGGAAUGAGAAAUAACAGGAGUUAAUCUCUAGUAUUCCUAAAUUAGUUGGUUGAAGUUCUUGAAUUAUUAGAGUUUGUAUUACCUUAUAAGUUCUUAGAUUGUGUAAAACCUAAACUCGAAAAUGCUAAUUUGUAGGAUUGAGGCUCUAGCUUGGGAUUAUCGCGUGGAAACCUAAUUGAGGGGAAACCGACGCGAUGGAAAGCUCGGAUCGAUGUUCCGACGAGCCUACGGCAAGCUAGUGAGGAAAACCUCAUUUUAGCCUUGUUUGUCGCGAGCAAGGAUUGCGAUCGUUCAUAAAUCGCGGGAAGUAGAUUUCUCGCAUUUCGGUAUCAUUUAAAGGUGGGUAGUGCUUCACCGAAGCAAUUAGGUCGCUUCCAAGCCAAAGUGAAGUAUGGUUCUUAUUGAUGCAUAUAUGUGUAGUGGUAGGUUGUGAUUGAUAAUAUGAAUGCAUGAAUCGUAUUAUGUUAGUUAAUGUUACGUACUAUUGAAAUAUGCAUAUGGACAUAUUGUGGAUAAUGCUAGAUGAUAUAUAAAUGUUGACACAUUGUGAACAUGCUAGAUUCAUAUGAAUUGAAUAUGGGUCGAUAACUCUAGGUCGAUUAGAGAACUCGACAGUUGCAAAGCGAGAACGUGUAAACUACAAUCCUAGGUGUGGACAACUAGGAUGAUAAGUAGAUCGAGUGGCAUGAACCUAAUGUUAGUAAACAUAGGUUGGACAUGAAUCUAGUGUCAUUGAACAUAUGUUGAAUAAGUGAACCUAGAGUCGAGAUCUAGGUGGAAAUGACAUAGAACCUAGCGUGACUGAACCUAAGUUAUGAUAUAUAGUGAGAAUUAGUGUACUUGAAACAAAGUUGUGGAUUAUAGUGGUAGAAGGACCACUAGUAAAUGAAUGGUUCAAACCUAGAAAGGUUAACAAAUAAGGUAUGUGUUAAACCCUUAAGACUUGGAAGUGGAUUCCAAAAUCCCUAGGACAGGUGGCUGCAAGUGUAGUGGUUGAGUGCAAGUGAAUCAGAACUACGGGUAUGUUGGUUCUCCUCGCUCGGUAUGAGCUCAGAACGGGUAUGUUGGUUCUCCUUGCCCGUUGAGCUUGAGCGACUUGUGGUUUUGGGGUUCGACGGUUCUCCUCACCCUGUGGUAGACCUAUAGUCGAGUGGACUUAAGGCCGAGGUGCUUGUGAGACGUCCUUCAACUCGAGCCUGGCUUGACACGGUAUUCCGCGGAUGAUUGACUCGAGGCCGAGUCGGGUGGAUAGCUUGAUUAAGAUAGAUGAAACCUUAAGAGCGAGUGGUAGAUAGUAUGAAUCUAAGGUAAAAAAAAUCUUAAAAGCUAGUUGGAUAUGAGCUAUGGAUAGCGAGAUAGAAAGUAGAAUCAGUAGAUCUACUUAUAUAUUGUUGCAUAAUCUGCAUACUGCAUGUCUUGAGGCAUACAUAUGUAUUUAAUAUUGGCAUAAAUUAUUUGUGGAUAUUUAUUGGACUAACUUGAUUGCAGUGCCUCCUUUGGACCUGGUGGGUCGAGCUUUUCUCUUGGGUGGCCGUACCCACUGGGAACUAUAGACAUAGUUCUCACUCCACGUUGUUUCGGGGUUUCAGGUUCACACGAGAGCGGCGCAAAAGCGUGAGGAAAGGGCGUAGCUCCGUAGAUAGCGCGCUACCACCGAGACCAGGGAUAGCAGUACCCCAAGUCAGCUUCGCUAGGGGUAUGGAAAAAGAAAGACACUAAAUUGUAAUAAUAGUGAUAAUUUGAUUGUAUUUGAAGGUUAAUGUAAUAUAAAACUGAGAUGAAUGCUUGUAUAGUUUAGCAUUUAUGUUUUCGAUACCUUCCUUAUGCAAUCUGUGUUGAAUAUUGUUCCUGGUUGGAAUCUCGUGUAUUGUAUGGAUUGUGACGCCUACGCCUAGGACGUACAAGAGAAACUCUGUCUGUUCGGCGGUCUGUUGGCGUAUCCGAAUCCGACCAAAUAGGCGGAGCUCGGGGCGUGACAAAUUAAUUAAACAAAGAUGUCUUCAAACCAUAACAAAACACAUUGAAUGUGAUCUUCAGCAUAAAAAAGGGCAACAUAUGAAAAAUUGCCGACUUGAGACAAUUAUUUCUCGUGCAGUCACGCAUCAAAAAAAUUUUAAUUGUGGUGCAUGGAUGAUUUGAUGCACUAAGUGCAAAAAAGAACUUCCUCUCUUCCCUCCCUCCUAAUGACGCGACGAUGAUGCAGCAAUGAUUGAAAUGCCAUGCCAUCAUAAUGAUUGUGGGUGAUGAUGUGGCAAUAAGUAGGAUGCCACAUUAGCGCCACAUCAUCACGUUGCCAUUUCAAUCAACUUUAACUAAUGAUGGAAAAUCUUUGUUUAUGGCUAAAAGACAAAGAAACAUUACUAUCUUUCAUAUAAAUGUAAAACUAUUAUUAUCUUGAUUUGGUCAACAUCGUGGCUUUGCAUUAUUAUUUUCUUAUCGAUAUUGUAGAGAGAGGUGAUCAAUUAUGGCCAUGUUAAAGAAGGAUAGGAAGAGUAUUGAGCCAAAAAGAAAGGAAACAUGGUAAAAGGAUAUUAGUCGUAUUAUCUAUGGUUUAUGCUUGAAAAAUGAAUUAGGGAACCAUUCAGGAACCCACUUUAAUAAAGCUACACGGAGUAAUUUGGGUUGGAACUUCAAAAAUGUGAUCGAAAGAUAUUAUGACAAAGGUCAGCUUAAAAAUACGUAGGAUCAACUUAAAAAGGAAUGGAAGUUAUGGAAACGAUUAUUAAAAUAAUGAAACGGUCUUAGGUUGGGAUCCUAACAGGAGAAUCAUUGAUGCCGGGCCGAUGGGCACCAAACAUAUAUCCAGAAGCGUAGACAUACUCCUAAACUUUGGAUCGAAGAUGUUUAUCAACGGAGACAAGAAAUGAAAUCUAGCUUGAUUUAAUCUUAAGUUUGUUAGAUAGAGAUUUUAUCUUUAAGCUUCUCACAUGAUUUUCUCAUUAGGUGGUUACAUAAGGAUUCUGUAAGAAGGGCAAAAGAGCAUACCCUCUUAAGUUGUAUUAACGAAUAUAUAUAGUACAAGAGAUUGUCUUACUAUAAUAACAAUGACUACUAUAGUAAGAGUAUAACUAGGAUUACAUACUAUAUAAUCCUACUCUAUAGAAGGCAAUAAUACACAGUAUCCUAAUAUAGAUAAAAUAUAUCGUAAUAUCUCCCCGCAAGCUAAGCAUCCGAUGGUCGGAUGCGAAAAUUGAGCCGCAAUAUCGAAAACCAAGAGGGUGAAAGGGGCUUGGUGAAAAUAUCGGCAAGUUGCUUGUCAGAAGGGAUAUGAAUUAAGGCCAAAUCACCAGACUGAACUUUUGCCCGCAAGAACUGAUGGUCAAGUUCAAUGUGCUUCGUGCGAGCAUAGAGAACAGGAUUGGCCACAAGGUAGGUGGAGCUGAGAUUAUCACAAUAAAUACUGAUAGAGCGCCAUAAGAAAACACGAAAGUCACGAAGGAGACGACGAAUCCAAACUGUCUUAGCAAGUGUGUAGGCUACAGCACGAUACUUUGCUUCAGAACUAGAACGAGAAAUGGAGAAAUGGUGGGUUGUUUCUUAGCGGACCAGGAGAUAAGAUUUGGCCCAACAAAAAUGCAAUAUCCAGAAAUAGAGCGACGUGUAUCCGGAUAACCAGCCCAAUCAGCAUCAGCGAAGGCCACAAGAGAAGGAUUGUCGCAGUGAGAGAUAUGAAGGCCAUAAGACAGCGUCCCCCGAAUAUAGCGCAGAAUACUCUUGACCGCUUGCAUGUGCGGUUCACGAGGUGCAUGGAGAUACUGGGCAACAGAGUUGACGGCAUAUGAAACGUCCGGUCUAGUGAAAGUGAGAUACUGGAGAGCACCAACUAUCUGACGAUAAGUGUAUAGAUCCUGAAGAAGACUCCCCUCAUGGGAAGAGAGGCGAGAGUUUUGCGAAAGAGGAGUAGAAACGGGAUUACUGUCAAGAAAACCAUGUCGCUGAAGCAGUUGAUGCGCAUAUUUUUGUUGAGAUAGAUGAAGACCAGAGGGGGAGCGAUGAACCUCAAUACCCAAAAAAUAAUGCAGCGGUCCGAGAUCCUUCAUGGCAAAUUUGCGUUGUAAAGUGACGAUAAGAGCAUCGAGAAGAGAUGAGGAACUGCCGGUGACAAUAAUAUUAUCAACAUACAAGAGGAGAACAAGAGUUCCAGAGGAAGAAUGACAAACAAACAUUGAGGGAUCAGCAGUGCUGCCGACAAAACCAAUCUCAGAAAGAAAGAAAGUGAAGCGCUAAAACCAAGCCCGAGGAGCUUGUUUGAGACUAUAUAUCGUUUUGCGUAGACGGCAAACGUGACUAGGAAGCGAAGGAUGCACAAAGCCAGGUGGUUGCUUCAUAUAAACCUGCCCAGAGAGAGUGCUAUGAAGAAAGGCAUUCUUCACAUCAAGUUGUCGCAGAGACCAUCCAGAGGAGAGAGCGACCGAAAGAACAGUACGAAUAAUGGUCGACUUGACAACCGGAGAAAAAGUCUCAUCAAAAUCAAUGCCUUGUUGUUGUUUGUAACCCUGAGCCACUAGUCGAGCUUUGAGACGCUCAAGAGAGCCAUCCGCCUUCUGUUUGACUUUGUAGACCCAUUUACAGCCAAUAAAAUUGACAGAAGGAGGAGCAGGAACAAGCUCCCAAGUAUCAUUGGUGAGUAAUGCAUCAAAUUCUUCAGCCACGGCAGCACGCCAACCUGCAUCCUAAAAGGCUUCAUGAAAAGUAGUAGGCUCAGUAUGAAGAGUAGUAUGUGUAGAAGCUAAGAAGGAGGUAGACCCGGCAAAAUUCUUAUUCAUAGAUCGAGUAAGCAUAGUGUGUUCGGAGUGGUAAAGAAGGCUCAGCAGGCUGAGGUGAAGAUAGCCUGUCAGAUGUAGAAGGCGUCAACUCAACAGGAGAAGGUGAAGCUGUAGCAGCAGUAGGUCGGAGGGUGUGUCGUCUGGUAUAGACUCGGAGUUCAGGUGGACCAGCAACAGUGGCAGCAUGUUCAUCACUAACCUGUGUGGCAUCAUGAUUCAAGGUGGAAGGAAAAGUCGAUACAGUCUUAGACGGUGAAACAGAUGCAUUUAAACCAACGUCCGUAAAAGGGCGUGUGAAGGAAAAACCAGAGAUGGCAUCAAUAGAGGAAGGACGAAACGACUUUCGCCCAGUAAAGGAGGAUUAGAAAGAAAAUGUUGAAACAUUUGAAAAUUUAAGGUAGUAGGGGAAGGUGAGAAAGAAAAUUUAGACAGACAAGAGUAAGGAAAAACAGUUUCAACAAAAGUAACAUGGCGAGAAAUAAAAACUUUACCAGUGCUCGGAUAGAGGUAGCGAAAGCCUUUAUGUUUGUCAAAAAGGCCUAAGAAAACACAAGGAAGUGAUCGGGGAGAGAGCUUGUGAUCUGCAAUGUCCUGAACAUCGGGAUAACAUAAACAUCCAAAGACUUUGAUAAGUUGCAAGUCAGGAGAAACACAACCAUAGAGAAUGUCAUACGGCGACCGCCUAUUUAAAACAGUAAGAGACAGGAGUCGAUUUACAAGAAAAACAACAGUUUGAAUGGCAUCAGCUCAAAAACGAAGAGGCAAGCCAGCUUGAAACAAUAGACUUCUAACAAUGUUAGAUAAAUGCCCAUGUUUUCUCUCAGCAAGGCCAUUUUGUUGAGUGCAAGGACAAGAAAAUCGGUGAAUAAUUCCAUUUUGUGAGCAAAAACUAGAAAACUUGUCAUUUACAAAUUCCGUACCAUUGUCAGAUUGAAAAAUUUUUAUUGAGCUGUGAAAUAUAUUUUCAACCAUGAGCAUACCCUCUUGAGUUGUAUUAACGAAUAUAUAUAGUACAAGAGAUUGUCUUACUAUAGUAACAAUGACUACUAUAGUAAGUAUAACUAGAAUUACAUACUAUAUAAUCCUACUCUAUAGAAGGCAAUAAUACACAGUAUCCUAAUAUAGAUAAAAUAUGUCGUAACAGAUUCAAUUAUUCUUAUUUAGUCCAUAUUAUCUGUUGGUUAAACAAGGAUUAGUCAGCCUCUACAGUUCUCCAGCUUUAGUUACUUUCAAUAGUUUUUAUUUUUUUUAUUUCCCUUCGAUAAGAUGAUUUUAUUUUUUGAUAAGAUGGAAUCUUAAAGCCAUUAGACUCGAUAAGGCUUUAGAUUUAUACAUAAACCCCACAACUUCUUCAUCUGUAUAACAUUUUGAAGAUUUUGUAAAAUUAAAUUGAAGCCUUUUGCCCGAAUUGUAAGGAAAUGAAACCUCGAAACGUGAAUCCGAACUUCGAUCGAAAUUGAUCGGAAGUUGGUUCGGGACGCUUCGGAAAGGCCGAAGGCUUCAAGAACGGCUUUAGUGCAUUGUGGAGGGCCUUAGAGAGCAAGCUAGUGCAAAUCUGCACAUAUGCAGAGUUUUUGUGCUCUCGGGGACCGGUCUCCCCAGCAGGGACCGGACCCCGUAUGCGUGGAAAAAGGGCAGACAGCUGCUCUGCGCGUAUUCUGCUCUCGGGGACCGGUACCCUCCCUAGGGGGACCGGUCCCCGUACCCGAAAACUGCCCAGUCUGGGCAGUGUGAGAAGGAAGUUGGAGGGGUUUAUUGCAAUUGUUGCAUGAGGAGAGUGUAUAGAAGGGGGUUUUGGGUCAUUUCUCUCUUCUCCCUCACACUAGCAACCCUAACACACACACUCUCUCUCUAAGCUCUCUUUCUCUCUCUCUUCAAGGUGGAAAGCAAGAAGGGAUUGGUGAAGAAGGAGACUAAAGGGUUGAUCUUCAUCUUCAUCUUCAUCAUCAUCUACCUCACCUUGGAAGAAAGCUCUUGAGGUAAGCUUUAUAGAGCUUUAAUAGUAGAUUUCUAGGGUUUGGAUUUUAUACUCUAGAAAUGGUUUGGAUGGAACCCUAGGAUGCUAAGUAGAUGGUUAUCGCUCGAAUCGUGAAGUUGUAUGAUGAAUUCUUGCGAUAGUUCUAUGUUAGGGUUCCAAUUGAGGUUUUGAUAAAUGUUGGGGUUUGAUCUAAUUUAACCCAAUGUAAACCUAAUUGUUAGGUUUUCUGAAGCGGUGGUGAACUCGGUUCGGCGAUCCGUCGAGUCUGCGCGGAGAUAUCGAAGAAAAAGACCUUUUUGGCUUCGUUUCCGCCUGGAAGGCCGAGGAGGCGUCCAAAAAUCGCGGAACUUGGAAUCUAGAGUUUCGGCAUCACGAGAAGGUGGGGGGUGUCAUCCCGAAGCAGUUGGACUUCUCCCUAUGUCUCGGUUAUAGUAUUAAUCACAUUCUCAUAUGGUUACUUAUGCAUUAUAGGAUGUUUAGUAUAGUUACAUUUCUGUUUCCUUGCAUGUUCCUUAGUGGUGUAGCAUCGUGAGCUUGACACAAGAACCUAAGGUGCAUGAGGAUUAGUUGUGACAUGAAUCCUAUAGUGACAAGAUAAGUGACGACUUGAACUUGAGAUAAUGAUAUCAAUUGACAUUGACCUAGUGUAGUCGAGGCACUAUAACAUGAACGAGUGGCAUGUAAAUUAGUUGGAACAAUUACAACUAAUGAUUUGAACGAGUGGCAUCAAAUCUAGUGUAGAGACACAUGAUGACAUGAUUCUAGGGAUAGUAGAGUUCCUGGUUAUUGAAUUGUGCAUUUGGAAUUAGUGCGGUAGAAGCACUAUGACCCUCGUCGAUAGGGUGUCCUCUAGUGAGGAUCGGAUCAUACUCACUAGUCUGUUUGCACUUGGCGUGGUCGCUCCACCCAAGUAGUGGUCUCCGGAGUACUUCACGAUAGGGGCAAACGUAGUUGUCCCGCAGACGGUCUCGGUGUGCGAGUGCAGAUUCUCCUCAUCUAUGAGAUUGAGAAGUGAGUCGUGGCGUAACCUUCGAGUUAGCCAAGUAGAUUGGGUAAUAAAUGUGAAUGGCAUAGUAGACUUGCAUUCAUACCUGGAGUGGACAUAGUGUGUCACGCCCCGACCCGAGACCGCCAGUUUGGCUAGUUCGGGCGCGUCAAACAGACGCCGAAUGGACAGCACCUCCCCUGUCCGCCCAAGGCUCAACCACGAGAUCAUGUACAAGAAUUCGCCCAGGAACAAUUCAAUACAUACAUGACCCAAUCCAAUAAGGAGAGAAGCACCACAAGUGCUAUACAAUAAGAGCAAGUAACACAAGUAUACAUACAAGCGCACAAAAGAGAGAUUCUAUCUAUUACAUCCAUUCAUCCUUAUACAAUCGAUUUACAUCUACAUUUGUAUCUUCCAAAUUAUAGGUACAAGUUCAUCUCAUCAUAAUAUAAGUAUGAAUACAACUCUCCAAAAGCACCUCACCACCUAUACCUCAUCUCUGCUCUCAUAUAUAUAUAGAGUGCUACUAAUGCAAAAGGAAGGCCUCUACUACCACUAGGGCGCUACGCCCUUACCACGGUCCUCGCCCGGUGCGCUCGUGCUCGGUCCUGCAACACAGUGGGGUGAGAACUGUUGUCCAUAGUUCCUAGUGGGUUCGGCCGCCGACUCUGCCGAUCUCCCUACUAGGUCCAAGUGGGCACAAGUAGAUAGAUAGGUAGAUAGAUAUGUGAAAGCAGUAACGACAUAGUAAGAAAGCUACACUACUAUGCCCAAAUCAUAUACAGUGUAUACAUGCACAAUGUGAUAAGUAAUCAGCUAACAUGCUACUAUGUCUAAGAAGUAAUGCUAUUCUCUUGUUCAUCCAAUCUCUUGGCUUACCCGAAGGUUCGCCCACGACUCACAUAGCCAUCUCGUAAGGUAAGGAGUCUCAACUCGCUCAACAAACCCGAGAUCGUCUGCGGGAACCCAUAAGGCUAUCCCUCGGGACCCCAUAAGUCUAUCUCUCGUGUGACAAACUCCGGAGCGCACUGCUUGUGCGGAGCGACCGCUUACAAGCUCUGAACAGACAUGUAAGUAUGAUCCAAUCCUCUCAACUCGAGGAUACCCUAUCCACUAGGGCUAAUAGUCACUCGAGAAUCCACCUAUCCCAAUGUUCAUAUGCAAGUGUUUAACUACAAUAAGUUCUUGUUCAAUGACUCAUCACUAGGGAAUCCGCCUAUCCCUAAGUUUAUAUGUCACAAGUGUCACUCUACACUAAGUUGUAUGCCACUCGUCCUGUUAUCUAUUGUUUACAUGCCAGUCAUUAUGUAAGAUACCGGACUUCUAAAAUUAUGAAGUUACGGUGUACAUUUGGUUGGGAAGCCAUUUGAAUGGUUUCGUGAAGUUCCGGUGAAGUUUGGAAGCAUUCGGGCAUUUCGGAUGCGCGAAAACGGAACCCGAAAGGCUAUGUUGGACCGUAGACUAAAUCCGGCAUUAGCGUGGAUGAAAAGAUGAUAAAAACGUGCUCGAAAACAUGUUUGGAGAGUCUCGAUUCGAUUUGAAAUGAAUCGGAGGUCAAACGAGCGAAAACGAGCGAAAACGGAGUGAAAACGGACGAAGGCUGAAAAUGCUGAAAAAUUGGCUAAGUCUGGAACUUUGGUCCUUCGGGGACCGGUCUUUCACUGCCUAGGACCGGUCCUAGAGACCCGAAAAUGCCCAGCUCGGGCUGCUGCAAGAAGAGACUUGUUGAGGGGGUUUCUUGCAAUUUUGCACUAGUAGAGGCCUUACGAGAGGGGAAUGAGAUCUUUUCUCUCAUUCUCUCAACCCUAAACCCUCAAGACACAUGUCUCUCUCUCUCUCUCUAAAGCUCUCCUCUCUUUCUCAUCAAGGAUGGAUCUAAGAGGAGGAUUGGGUGGAGAAGAAGGCUAGGAAGUGGAUUGUGCUCAUCUUCUUCCUCUUCCUUGGCCAUUUGGGCAAGCUUUGAGGUAAGCUUUUGUGCCCAUUAAUGGUGGAACUCUAGGGUUUUAUUCUUAAGCUCUAGAAAUGGUUUAGAUGGAAUCCUAGCAUGCCAAAUAGAUGGUUUAUGCUUGAUUCAUGAGAUGAAUUGGAGUAUUUUGCUAUAAUUGCAUCUAGGGCUCCAAUUUUGGGGUUUUCAAAAAUAUGAGAGUUUGAUCUCAAUUGACCCUCCGUAAACCUAAUUGCUAGGUCCCCGAACGCGUUCGUGCACUCGGUUUGAGCAUUCGUCGAGCCGUUGUAAAGAUAUUGAAGAAACAGACUAUUUAGCUUCGUUUCCGCCUGGAGGGCCGAGGCAACAUCGUAAAAUCAUGAAAACAGAUUUGGAGCACCGUGGCACAUAACCGAAGACCUAUAAUUUUCGGAGCCACGAUUCGACGCACGGUUGGUGAGUAUUAGCAAAAUCGGGCCGAACCGGGUGCCUGGUGCCGCGGGAGGCCGAUUGCAAGUGACUACAAGCAAUCGGAGAGCGAAUCGAGAUGGGUUGUGCUCACCGAAGCGACUAGGUCGCCCUUAUGUCUAAGAGAAACGUGGUUUCAUGUUGAUGCAUAUAAAUGGUAGAUGAAUGCAAGGGUUAAAUGCUAGGUGAAUGCAUGUUAAUUGUUAUGCUAUGACUACCAUAGAAUGCACGAUGAGCAUAUUAUAGAAAUGCUAGAUGAUGCAUGUAGAUGAUGCAUGUAAAUAAUGCUAAAUAAUGCAUGUGAGCAUAUUGUAAAGAAUGCAUGUUAGUGACAUAAUGCAAAUAUGCUAGUUAAUACAUGUGUGAUAACAUGAUGAGAAAAUGCUAGAUUAUAUGCAUGUUAACAUAUUAUGAAUAUGUUCUAAUUGUUAAAUGCAAGCUCUAGAUGGUAAAUGUAUAAUGGCAUUAUGAGAUCAUGAGAAAGAUAGACAAAUGUUAACAUGUUGUAGAUCAUGUUAGAAAGAAUAUGCAUGUUGGCAUCAUAUAAUGCAUGCUAGAUAAAAUGUGGAUAUCUAUUGAACUCGAUGUGGACUAUAGGGUUGUCGAAUAGAUCGAGUGGCACUUAACCUAGUGUAUGAAACAUAGGUUGGACAUGAAUGACAAAGAACCUAGUGUUAUUAAACAUAGGUCGUGUGGCAUCUAACCUAGCGUUAAAGAACAUAGGUUGAACACGUGAACCUAGAGUCGAGAUCUAGGUAGAGAUAACAUGUGAACCUAGUGUUGUUGAACCUAGAAUGAAUCAUGAGUGGCAUCUAAAAUAGCGUUAAAGAACAUAGGUUAUGGAUUGAACCUAGAGUUAAAGUAAAUCUAGGUUAUGUGAUAGAGGCGUUGAACCUAGAGUCAAUUGGACCUAGGGUGGAAAAGACAUCAGACCUAGAUAGGUCGAUACUAUAGGAUUUGAGACCAACCCUUGAGUUGUGAAAUGGAUUCCGGAAUCCCUAGUGAUGUGGCCGCAAAAGAAGCGGUGGAAAUUGUGGUAAAAGAGAUGGCAAAGGAAUCAUAACUGCAGGUAUGUGUGGUUCUCCUCGCCUGGCAGUGAUUCAACGGGUAUGUGUGGUUCUCCUCGCCCGAGAUGCCAUGAGAAUAAGCUGGAAUUGGGUAUGUGUGGUUCUCCUCACCCAUUAGCUUAUCGGAUGAUGCCACCUAGAUUGACUUGAACCUUGCUGGGUAAGAGCGAUGUGGUCGCUGCCAGAUGACUAAGUCACAACUUGAACCAUUGUUGGGUGAGGUGCGAUGAGUUCGCCGCCAGAUGGCUAAGUCAUGACUUGAGUUGUUGUUGGGUUCGAUGCGAUGAGUUCGCCACCAAAUGGUUAAGUCAGAUUUGCGGUAGGCUGUGACGGCAGCCAGGCUGAGUUGCAGCCAGUGCGCGAACUAUCCGCGGAUGAUUGACUCGAGGCCGAGUCGGGUGGUUAGCUUGAUUAGGUUAAUGGAAACCUUAUAAGCUAGUGAUUGAGGCAAAAACCUAAGGUAAUAGAGACCUUAGAAGCAAGUUGAACUUGAACUGAGAACCUAAGGUAAUAGAAACCUUAGAAUUGAAUGAAAUGAGCUAAAGUUAGCAAAGUGAAUGUAGAAUCAACAAAUCUACUAGUUUAUACAGUUGCAUAGUUGCAUAAUAUUCUUAUUGCAUAUUGCGAGGCAUGUUAUCUGUUAGUUGCAUAAUUACAUUAUGAUAUAUAUAUAUCUGUAGAUGUUUUUGGACUAACAUGAUUGCAGUGCCUCCUUGGACCUAUCGGUCGAGCUUUUCCCUUGGGUGGCCGUACCCACUGGGAACCAUGGAGUUGGUUCUCACCCGACGUUGUUUUGGGGUGUUUCAGAUUCGCACGUGAGCGGCGCGGCGGCGCGAGGCAAGGGCGUAGCUCCAUAGAUAGCGCCCUACCCCAGAGACCAGAGAUAGCGGUACCCCGAGUCGGCAUAGCCUAGGGGUAUAGUAAAGGGAAAAGAACACAAUGUAUCAAACUUGUAAUAAUAAUUGUAAUAACUUAAUUGCAUUUGGAAGUUGAAUGUAAUGUAAAAUGAAAACUGUGAUGAAUGCUUGUAAUAACAUAGGAUGUGUUAUGUUGUUUGAUACCUUCCUUAUGCAAUCUUGCUUGAAUACUGUUCCUGGUUGGAACUUCUUGUACUUGUAUUGAUUGCGACGCCUAGGACGUAUAGGGGAAACUCUGUCCGUUCGGCAGUCUGUCUGCGGCGCCGCAACCUCGGCCAAAUAGGCGGGUGGUCACGGGUCGUGACACGUUAUGUCGCUGUGAAACCAUCGAGUUCAUCUCUUAUCUCGGCACUAUAGGAUUCAAUGUCACGACCCAAUCCUCAUCUAUCCACUAUAUCAAGCAUUCAACUCACACUAUGAUAUCAACUAGAAAGCAUAAGGAAACGGAUAAUGCACAUAGCAUCCUACAAUGCUAGCUAUAUAAAAGAUGCAAGGUUAUAAUGCACUAAGACAUAAAGAGGAGCCCGGUUGCUUCGGGAUGACACCACCCACCUUCUGGCGUUGUCACGACUCUAGAAAUGCGAUUCGGCGAUUUUACGACGUCAUCUCGGCCUCCCAGGCGAAAACAAAGCUCGGAAGGUCCUUUUUGCCGAUAACUUUGCACAGGUUCGAUGGAUCGUCGAACCGACUUCGCCUACGCGUCGAAAAGCCUAUCAAUUAGGUUUACACAUGAUCUAAUUAGAUCAAACUCUUACUUUUAGCAAAACCCCAUUUUGGAGCCCUAGAUUGCUACUAAUGCAAAAUACUCCAACAAAGCCCUAGAUUCAUGCAUUUAACAUCAAUUAGGCAUGCUAGGAUUCCAACUAAUCCAUUACUAAAGCUUAUAAUCCAAACUCUAAAAAAUCUACCAUUGUAGUUCAAUGGAGCUUACCUCUCUAGCUUGCUCUCAAGGUGGAGAAGACGAUGAUGAAGAUCAAGAUCCCUCCCUUGGCUUCAAUCUCCACCAAAUCCUCCUUCUUCACCUUCUAGAGAGAGAGGAAAAGAGCUUAAAGAGAGAGAGAGUGUGUUUUUGGUAUAGGGUGAGGGAAAUGAGAGAAAGAGAGAGAGGGAUGGCCCUUAAGUAGCCCUUAUAAUGCACAAUUGCUGAAAACCCCCUCCAUAAUGCAAGUUAUGCACAGCCCAACCCAAGACAUUUUCGGGUACGGGGACCGAUCUGUCCCUAGAGGGAUCGGUCCCCGAGAGCAAACUUUACGGGCAAAGUAAUUCUGCCAAUUUUACGCGUACGGGGACCGGUCCUUCACUCUUGAGGGAUCGGACCCUGAGAGCAAUUCUGUGCGCAGCAUUUUUCUGCCACUCACCAAGCUUACGGGAACCGGUCCCUCCCACCAGGGACCGGUCCCCGAGAGCAAAUUCUGCAAGUAUGCAGAAUCAUACCAGCUUGCUCUCCGAGGCCCUUUCCAAUGCACUUUAUGCGUUUUCGAUGCCUUCGGCCUCUCCGAAGAGUGCCGAACUCGACUUCGAUCAAUUUCAAUCGAAGUUCGAAUUCGCGUUUCGAGAUUUCCAAUUCCUUACAGUGUAUGUUAGCAGACUGCAUAACUGUGUGUUUAUAUCCAUGACAUCAUCGAAGCAUACUAGCAUGAUAGUAGGUUUGUUGCUAGAUGAACACUUCAUGUAUUGUUAGCAUUUGAAGGCAUAGUAGAAUGUAGCAGUUCAUUUCUAUCUACCUAUCUAUCUAUCUGCUCAUACCUGCUUAGACCUAGUGGGAAGAUCGGCGGAGUCGGCGGCCGAACCCACUGGGAACUAUAUUUAUAUAGUUCUCACCCCAUUUUGUUGCAGGGCCGAGUUCGAUUGAACCGGGCGAGGACCGUGGUAAGGGCGUAGCGCCCUAGUAGUUAGUAGCUUUUCCUUACUUGCAUUAGAGUACCCCCGUGUACAUAGAUGUUGUGAUAUUUUGGAGAGCUACUUAUGUACAUUGGAGAUGAACCUGUAAACCAUGUAUUGCAUUUUGGGAGAUGAAAAUGUAAAUGUGAUGUAAAUAUUGAAUGUCAAAUGUAAUAGCUAGAUAUAUCUCUCUUUUGUUCACUUGUAUGUUACUUGUGAUUCUUGCUCUUACUUGUAUCGCACUUGUGGUGCUUCGUGUAUGUUGUAUGUCAUCCUGGGCGACAAAAAUGUACACGAUUCUGUUGUUGAGCCUUGGGCGGACAAGAGAGGUGCUGUCUGUUCGGCGUCUGGUCAGCGCGCCCGAACCGACCAAACUAGCGGUUGCGGGGCGUGACACGAAUCCUCCAUGCAAUAGUCCUGGUCUGGAGUGAAUCCAGAUUUGUCUUGUCAUUUUUUCUUAUGCUCAUACUUCUAUAUUUGGAUUAACAUUAAAGCUCGCAAAAAUACAAAAAAAGAAUACAAUUCCAAAAGGAUCCACCAGCAGGUCCCUUCCUUUUGAAUAGUGAAUGAUUAGUGUUGUUGCUACCCCUUUCUCUCUCUCUAUAAGCAUCCGGAAGCUUGCACCAUGUGUGGUUUCCAUUCAAGAAGCAUCAACAUCACAUUAACCAAUCCUACUCUGCUGCCAAGAUCACAGCUGUCUUUUCCUUCUCCCAUACAGGUCUACACCAUGAGAUCAUCAAGUAAGAUCCUUUUCUCUUUCCUAUUCCUCUUUUCAUCUUUCGUUCUCCUCAACCUCAAAUCCUUAUCCAACCUUUAUCUUGUAACCAAGUCCAAAUGCUAAACCCUGAAAUCGUGCUAGACCUAAUUUUUGUAGCCAAGGUCUAACUAAGUGGCAAUUAAGAGAGGCCACUAAUAAUGGAUUGAGGCCUUUGGAUCAGAUUCAAUAGGUUGGGCACAUUGUGAAAGAUGCUAAGGGAACCACAGGUAUAAUCUCAUAUCCUAUUUCUCAUUUCAAUUCUUAAACCAGUUUAUUUGCUUGGUUUUUCUUUGAAGGUUCAUUUUCAUGGCUUAUUCAUUUUCAAAAUCAAUAGCAAUUCUUGAAUUGCCUAUUUCAUGUGUUAUGCAUAUAGGCUUGCACUACAAUUGCCUUUAGGAUAGAAGUUUUGCAUCAUCCGUCUUUGGCAACAUUGGGUUGGCAUUUUACGUUCUUAUUAUAGACAUUUAACUCUAGCACAACACUUAGAAUUAUCCAUAAAAACCGGAUGGCAAAAUCUGCCAAAGAACUGUGAUAAGAUUGUUUUACCAAAUAGUGACCUACUUUAGCUACAGUGCUUAUUUACCAGAGUCUUUGCUGCAACACCUUUUCAAAAUGUCUUUUUGCCAUAGUCACAGCAUUACCAAACUAGGUUUAAAGUGUUUUGCCUUUGUUUAAAUUAUUUCUAUUAGGAAGUUCUACAAAUAAAAAUAACUCCACAAUGUCCUAAAAGGCUAAAAUCUAUUUCUUUCAGCCUUGUUUGGUAUCGCUUCACUUUUUUUUUUUUUUUAAUAACAUAAACUCAUUGAGUGCGAGGGUCGAUGGUGGAGUGCUUGCAAUCCACACAUCUAAGGUUUGUUUGGCAAAAAAAAAAAAAAAAAAACGUGGUCACUUUUUUCAAUUCCAUGUUUUCUUGAAGAUGCCUUCUUGCACCUGACCGGUUGCAUUGCAUGCUAGCCAUUGACGACAAGUGUAGAAGUCCAUCCCCUGGCACAUCCGACCAUGGUAGAACUUUUUAAAAAAGAACUGAAAAAUGGCAACAAUACCAAACAAGACCUUGCUUCAUUAGAAGUUCUAGAUUUGCUUUUGUUUAGUUCUUCUAAAUGUCCUUUUUGUUCUUAUAACUUGUUAAUAGAACUGUAAUAUAAAUAACAGAUCCUACAAAAAGAAGUGCAGCCAUGAAGAAUUAACCCUAAACCCUAAAACCUAAAGAGUGAAAAUUAGUUGAAAAGCAAAUUUAGAAAACCUAGUCAUUAACAUUUUAAUUAUGGUAGUUAUCAACUAAGGAAACCAGUUAUUAAAUUUCAAUAAUGGCAACCAAAAAGCUAUAACUAAAAACUAAAAAGGGUCUAAGAAAUUCUUUUUUUUCCCCAAAACAUGAGAAAAGAAUUAUUUAGCAUUAUGUCACAAACAAUGUUGAGCAAUACUUACCGCUCCACUGUGCAGUCCAUAUACCGACAAAAUGAAACAAGACUUAUCCAGAUCGCAUGUCAAAUAAUACCUGUAAAAUGACGAAUGUAGGAAAUGUCAUCUAAGAUGCAUAACAUUUGUUUAGGAAAAUGUGUGAAGCAUUAGCUGAUCAUGAUAUACGAGAGGAAUUAUGUAUUUCUUCUGUUUCUUAUCUUUAUCCUUAACAAACUAAAUUGUCUUCUAAUGUAAAAAUAAAUAAUAUGAAGAAUAAAUUGAUGCAGACAAAAAACCUAUCAGAGGUUCCAUAUUUGCAAGGAUCUAAAAUAGAAGCAGAUUUACUGAAUCUAUAGAAAUGAUACAACGCAGAAGAACCAAGUUACUUAGAUCUAAAAUUGAUAGAUUAAUGAUUCAAUCUUUAUUUGAUUGAAGUGCUAGUCUACUGUACAAUGGCAAAAUUGUAUGCAGUAGAAGAACAAGAUGACUCAAAUUAAAAUGAAAUGAAAUUUCAGUAACAAGAACUUUUAAAAGAAGCCAAAAUCACCACCUAAAGUAUGAUAUAAGGUAGCACUUAAAUAUGAUACAAGGCAGCAAGCAAGAUACUGAAAGAAUUAUUAUUAAAUGUAUUGAAAUAAACAAUAAAGUUGGACCCACAAAUCUCUAAUUUGUCGAGGACCAGAAAUGGUUCAGAUUGCAAGUAAAAUACAGUUCAUCCAUAAGAGAUUAUCGACGGCACACCCAGAAAAGUCGGUGUGUAAAUUUUAUACAAGUAUGGCAAGACUCACAAUGGUGCUAUAUUGUCAUGCUUUACGAAGAGAAGCACUUUUCCCACAACAGCUACUGCUUUAUUCAACCCUUCUGAAAGGACAUUUAUGGCGGAUUUCUUGGGUGAUGACUUCACUAGAAAGGCAAGUAAUGUAAUAAAUAGAUGAACAAUUAAAUGAACUGACCAAAGUAUACAGCUUCAAAAUGCUCAAGUACCAAAAAGAGGACACUUACAAUUAACUUCAGCCAAGGAUGACAGAAGUGAUGUUAACCGCUUACUUCGGACCUGCUCCUGCAUAAUUAUUUAUGGACGAUUCUAAAGCAACUCUAGAAAUAGAAGUCAUUCUUGCAGAUUCUUGGUUCACUUCUAUCAUAAUCUAAUUCAUUUUCAAGAAAGAAAUUCGCCGAAAGGAGAUAAAACAUUCUUUAUAUAAGUACACUUUGAAGACUAAGCACAAUAAUAGGGCCUUGCUUCGUAUUCUUGCUUUUCUUUUACGCUUUUUCAAACACCAAUUCAACAAGGAGUAAGCAGGAAGAUGGCUUAUUGCUUCAGUCUCUACUCUACAGGAGUUGUUCGGCAACAAAGUACAAAGACUUAAAUAGAAUUUUUCUUUUAUUUUGUUGCUUCUUUGUUUUUUUGAAGAAGAUGGUGUUCUGCAUCAAGCCUGGGCAUAUAAUAAGCUAACCAACAAUGACAACAAGAGAAAAAAUCAACCACCGGAGGUCCGGAACAUCCAUUCACAUAGAAUUUGCUUUUUUUAGAAAAGCACAAAAAACAACAACAGUAUUAAACAACGCCAAGUUUUUGGAACUAUAAUUGACAAAACAAGAACAAUGAAACAAACAGAAAUGCAGUUCAAUAUGCUUAAUGCAAUAUGUUAUGCCAUUUCAUUUCAGUUUUGUAAGCCCAACAUAUGGUAAUAUCAGAAGUACAGUACAUUUUAGAAUCAUAAUUGUAAAACACACCAAAUGUAUCCCACUUUCUAGAAAAAAGAACUUUCCAAACAAUGAAGGACUCGCCAAUAAUUUCACAGAUGUAUCAAACUUUGUAACAAACAGCUGUGAAAUGCUUUUGUGCAGAAAAUAAACAAGCCAUUUAUGUUCUAGCAAAAGAUCCACAGACAGAGUUAAUGAUGCAAAGAUCAGGCGUAAUACCCCAAAUUUCGAGAAAACUCAUAAAGAGUGUUAGCCUAAGUGUUAGGUUCCGGGACAUGGUUAGGUGAUUCCAGAACCUAAGCAGAAGAACAGGGAGAAAAGAGGUUCUGUUUCUAAGAAGCUUGUGGGGAAGGUUCCACAACAUAACCUAGUUUUGGAACACGAAAAUCAUGUUCCGGAAUGUGAGCAGCUGAGGGCUGCGCUUGGGUGUGGGCAAUGAUGCGAGAAGUUAUAUCAUGAGGGGCUUAUUUGUAAUUGUCUUUCCCCUCCCUAUAAGAGGAUCUCUUGUGGAACCCUAGCCCCCUUCUUCUCUCUUCCUCCUCCCCCUCUCCACACACUCCUACUUUCUCACUUCCUCACACAUUUCUCCAUUUUUGAAGGAAAGUAAAUCUUUCUUAUACCUCCUGUAAUACACUGAACUUUUGCAAAUGGCGGAGUUCAAGUGUGUGGAAUGAAAUGUGGAACUAUCCUACAUAUUCUAAAUGACUUGGACAAGUUUUUGAACAAGUUAGAGAGUGAUUGGAGGGUUAAAAGCAAGAAAGUGCGCUGAUCUGGCGAAAUCAGCAGUUUUCUGCUUGGUGUACCGGUACAGCCAUCAUGGUGUACCGGUACACAAUGGUAAAACGUGGCAGCAAGGCUAUUUUGAUCAUUUCACAUCUUGUUCUCAUCUAUUUGAGUCCAGCACAACUCUGGGGGCUCAGGGGAGGUUGCUGAAGCUCUGAGUAAGCUUCUUUCAUCUUCUUCUCUCUCUCUCUAGGGUUUUUCUCUCUCUACAUAAAAGCCGCCAUUUCGCGCAGAUUUCACGCCGCGCUCGUUGCUCGCUGAUUUGGCGACUCAAGGGAUGCCUUCAGCACGUGGGGAGGAGGACUUUUCUCUGAGUUUUCCGUGAGGUUAGUACCAGAGAAGCUCAAUCUCAGCUUUAGAAAAGGAAUGAGCUCAAUUUCUCUCUAGUUUGUGAUUUAACAUUGAAACUUGAUGCAUUUUGGUUUUAUUGCUUCCAACUGAAAUUGAGGCUGUUUUCAGCAGUAAAGAGGAGCUAUUUUGACUGUGAAUUAACUAUUCUAGCUCAGUGAAAAGUUGCUUUAAAGCUGGACUAAGAUGAUUAAGUAUUUAUGAAGCUAGUUCGGAUCUAUAUGAAGUUUAAUCAGGUAACUAAUGCAGUUUGGAAAUGAUGCCUUCGCAGCAGGUUUUUGAACUAUUUGGAGCUUACUUGGUGACCUUGGGGACUGGUCUAGAAGUGUUCUAACCUAAGGUAAGCAGGAAUUUCAGUUAGAAAACUGAAUUCGCAGAAUUCCGACUAUAUUUCUUAGUAUUUGACGAUUUUGUUGCCGUUUUGGAAUAGUUCGAAGCGGGCUUGCAACAGACCUUCGGAUUAUCUCCGGCUGAUGCGUGAGGGAUUUUGGAAGCUUAACUUGAGGUAUUAACGGAGUCAAAACAGGGAUUUAAGCUAUUCCUAUGUACUGAGUGCAAUUGCGCCGAAAUCGGACAUUUCGGUUGUCGUUUUGAUACGAUAUUUAUGCUUUGUGUUCAGCAGGAUUGAGACCUAGUGGAGCUGAUCCUUGGGACUCCUUUGGACUGAUUUGGAGCCUAGUACUAGGUGGGUUUGACCUAACCAGAGCAAGUGAAGCUCCCCUAUGUUCUAUAUAUAACUAUAGAAUCGGUUUAGUAUCGCCUUUACUAAUAAAGGGUUUGAUAUAUAUAUCGUCUUAACAUUUGAUGAAUGAAAUAGAACCUCUAUGAAGUAGAAUGGACACACACAUGCAUAAAGUAUUUAUGUUCAUGUUUAAUUCAGUUGAAUGACAUUCUGGUACAAGUUACUAUGUUCCUAGAAAGUAGAGAACAAUGACAUGCUCGACACUUUAUUGAUUAUAAAGUUGAGAACAAGAACAUGUUUUAUGACUAUAAUGAUAGUGCCAUGAUACUAGAAAGUUUCUAAUGCCAUAUGUAAAUUAGCAUUACUCUCAUAUGUUUAUUAAUCUAGUGGAUACUAGUUGUUGUCAAUAUUGAUUAUAUUGAAAUUCCGAUCAAAGGAUCGAGAGCGAGAUUAUUAUGAGCUAAAUUGUGAUAGUUGAGACAUGUUGGACUGUGGACUUUGCUUGCUUGCCAUCGUGCUCAUUCGCACACGCUUGUGAGGGUAGCUCCCUACAAGCCGGCACUCCGGAGUUGGCCUACGCGACAGUUGCUCGCCCGUGCGGGAUUGGGUGCCGAAGUGGAUUGCCGUGGGGAGUGUAUACUACCACGGGACCAUUAGGCGCGGCGCAAGC